GCUAAUACCGCAUAAAACCUAACACCGCAUGGUGUAGGGUUGAAAGAUGGUUUCGGCUAUCACUUUAGGAUGGACCCGCGGUGCAUUAGUUAGUUGGUGAGGUAAAGGCUCACCAAGACCGUGAUGCAUAGCCGACCUGAGAGGGUAAUCGGCCACACUGGGACUGAGACACGGCCCAGACUCCUACGGGAGGCAGCAGUAGGGAAUCUUCCACAAUGGACGAAAGUCUGAUGGAGCAACGCCGCGUGAGUGAAGAAGGUUUUCGGAUCGUAAAACUCUGUUGUUGGAGAAGAAUGUAUCUGAUAGUAACUGAUCAGGUAGUGACGGUAUCCAACCAGAAAGCCACGGCUAACUACGUG
rnacentral:rRNA from 1 species